AGAGUUUGAUCCUGGCUCAGAGCGAACGCUGGCGGCGUGGUUAAGGCAUGCAAGUCGAGCGAUCCUGCGUGACCCGCAAGGGAAGCGCGGGAGAGCGGCAAACGGGUGCGUAACGCGUAGGUAACCUACCCUGAAGUGUGGGAUAACCCAACGAAAGAUGGGCUAAUACCACAUGUACUCCUGUCUCGAUGGAGAUAGUGAGGAAAGGUAGCCCCGACCGAAAGGUUGCUAUCACUUCAGGAGGGGCCUGCGUCCCAUCAGCUAGUUGGUAGGGUAACGGCCUACCAAGGCAUUGACGGGUAGCUAGCCUAAGAGGGCGGUUAGCCACACUGGGACUGAGACACUGCCCAGACUCCUACGGGAGGCUGCAGUCGAGAAUAUUUGGCAAUGGGCGAAAGCCUGACCAUGCGACGCCGCGUGCGGGAUGACGGCCUUCGGGUUGUAAACCGCUGUUACGAGGAACGAAUGCCCUUGAUACAAACAGUGUCGAGGGAGUGACGGUACCUCGAGAGAAAGCCACGGCUAACUCCGUGCCAGCAGCCGCGGUAAUACGGAGGUGGCGAGCGUUGCUCGGAUUUACUGGGUGUAAAGGGCACGUAGGCGGUCCUCUAAGCCCUGCCUGAAAGGCUCUGGCUCAACCAGAGCUUGCGGUAGGGGACUGAAGGACUUGAGGGUGCUAGAGGUGAGCGGAAUUCCCGGUGUAAGGGUGAAAUCUGUAGAUAUCGGGAGGAACACCAGUGGCGAAAGCGGCUCGCUAGGCCAUUCCUGACGCUAAGGUGCGAAAGCUAGGGGAGCAAACAGGAUUAGAUACCCUGGUAGUCCUAGCCGUAAACGAUGGACACUAGGUGUCGGCUCCAUUAGGGGUCGGUGCCGCAGGUAACCCGAUAAGUGUCCCACCUGAGGAGUACGGCCGCAAGGUUGAAACUCAAAGGAAUUGACGGG
rnacentral:rRNA from 1 species